rnacentral:rRNA from 1 species
GCGCGAAACCUCCGCAAUGCGAGCAAUCGCGACGGGGGAAACCCAAGUGCCACUCUUAACGGGGUGGCUUUUCUGAAGUGUAAAAAGCUUCAAGAAUAAGAGCUGGGCAAGACCGGUGCCAGCCGCCGCGGUAACACCGGCAGCUCAAGCGGUGGCCGUUUUUAUUGGGCCUAAAGCGUUCGUAGCCGGCUUGAUAAGUCUCUGGUGAAAUCCCACAGCUUAACUGUGGGAAUUGCUGGAGAUACUAUCAGGCUUGAGGCCGGGAGAGGCUGGAGGUACUCCCAGGGUAGGGGUGAAAUCCUAUAAUCCUGGGAGGACCACCUGUGGCGAAGGCGUCCAGCUGGAACGGACCUGACGGUGAGUAACGACAGCCAGGGGCGCGAACCG